rnacentral:rRNA from 1 species
GAUGAACGCUGGCGGCGUGCUUUAACACAUGCAAGUCGAGCGAAGCGCUUUGGUUAGAUUCUUCGGAUGAAGACCUUUGUGACUGAGCGGCGGACGGGUGAGUAACGCGUGGGUAACCUGCCUCAUACAGGGGAUAACAGUUAGAAAUGACUGCUAAUACCGCAUAAGACCACAGUACCGCAUGGUACAGGGGUAAAAACUCCGGUGGUAUGAGAUGGACCCGCGUCUGAUUAGCUGGUUGGUGGGGUACGGCCGUACCAAGGCGACGAUCAGUAGCCGACCUGAGAGGUGAUCGGCCACAUUGGGACUGAGACACGGCCCAAACUCCUACGGGAGGCAGCAGUGGGGAAUAUUGCACAAUGGGGGAAACCCUGAUGCAGCAACGCCGCGUGAAGGAAGAAGGUUUUCGGAAUCGGUAAACUUCUAAUCAACAGGGACGAAACAAAUGACGGUACCUG